rnacentral:rRNA from 1 species
UUUCAACUCUCAAACCCCAAUGUGAACCAUACUAAACUCUUGCCUCGGCGGGGUCACGCCCCGGGUGCGUCGCAGCCCCGGAACCAGGCGCACGCCGGAGGGACCAACCAAACUCUUUACUGUAGACCCCUCGCGGACGUUAUUUCUUACAGCUCUGAGCAAAAAUUCAAAAUGAAUCAAAACUUUCAACAACGGAUCUCUUGGUUCUGGCAUCGAUGAAGAACGCAGCGAAAUGCGAUAAGUAAUGUGAAUUGCAGAAUUCAGUGAAUCAUCGAAUCUUUGAACGCACAUUGCGCCCGCCAGUAUUCUGGCGGGCAUGCCUGUCCGAGUGUCAUUUCAACCCUCGAACCCCUCCGGGGGGUCGGCGUUGGGGAUCGGGAACCCCUCAGACGGGAACCCGGCCCCGAAAUACAGUGGCGGUCUCGCCGCAGCCUCUCCUGCGCAGUAGUUUGCACAACUCGCACCGGGAGCGCGGCGCGUCCACGUCCGUAAAACACCCAACUUCUGAAAUGUGACCUCGGAUCAGGUAGGAAUAGCCGCUGAAGCUCGCG